rnacentral:lncRNA from 1 species
AUUAAUGUCUGAUUCUAGAUUGGCUACCUAGAAAUUACCCUAGGAUUGUUAGAUAUAAGUGAUAGCUUUAAUCUCAUCCUAAAACCAUUUUAAUUGAGCUAAGAUUCUUGCUAGAGUAAGGCGAGAGCUGAUCUAGUGAGCUUAGUGAGCACAUUCAACCUGUGCAUUAACGCUUGACCAAUAGCGUCGAUCGAUAUUCAAAUAGAAUAAUCGGUCGAUGUUUCGAAUAAUUAAUCGAUC